GGGGGGAGCGCCGGAUCCUGGGCUGUGUCCCCGACGCCCUGUGCUCCUGGACCUGCGCUGUUGGAUUCCCUCUCCCAGAUGCGCAGCCUCCU
rnacentral:pre_miRNA from 1 species